CCACAGCCCAUUGGAGCGGUACAUGUUCACUGUUGCCUUCCACUCCUGAGCCUCGAGGUAGUGAUACUCAGCCUCCUGCAGUCGGCCUUCAGCCUCCAGCUCCUGGGGAAAGCCCUGAAGCCUCCUCCCACACACGCUCUGGGGCCGUAGCUCACCUUUCAGCCUCAUGGUACUUGCCCUGCUUCUCCAUCUCCUGAGCCUGGGUGAUGUACAGCACUGACACGUCUUCUGGUCUCAUGCACUUCAUCGCCAGCUGUGCAGACACACAGAGCCAGAGUAGCCUCUGGUGCCAGUUUCCAAGGGAAGCAGAGGGAUAUGCAGAGCAGCCCGGGAAGCCGGACUCUGGGGCAACGAGUCUUUUCAGGAACUCUGAACUUUCCCAACAACCACAGGAGUUUGGUUACUGUUGCUUUCCUAGUCAUUCCAGGGAACUCCAAGUCCAUAAGGAGCAAACUUUCAGGGAACCCAGUGAAGGAGGAGGAGAUCAGAGACCAAAGAAAGUGGCAACAGACGCUGAGAGGUGGGAUUCUCUGAUGAACGCUACCCCUCCCUCUACCUUGUGG